rnacentral:rRNA from 1 species
UACGUAGGGUGCAAGCGUUAAUCGGAAUUACUGGGCGUAAAGUGUGCGCAGGCGGCCGAGCAAGUCGAGUGUGAAAGCCCCGAGCUUAACUUGGGAACUGCGCUCGAAACUACUUGGCUAGAGUGUGGCAGAGGGAGGUGGAAUUCCGCGUGUAGCAGUGAAAUGCGUAGAUAUGCGGAGGAACACCGAUGGCGAAGGCAAUCCCCUGGGCCUGCACUGACGCUCAUGCACGAAAGCGUGGGGAGCAAACAGG